rnacentral:rRNA from 1 species
AGUGAACGCUGGCGGUAGGCCUAACACAUGCAAGUCGAACGGCAGCACAGUAAGAGCUUGCUCUUACGGGUGGCGAGUGGCGGACGGGUGAGGAAUACAUCGGAAUCUACUUUUUCGUGGGGGAUAACGUAGGGAAACUUACGCUAAUACCGCAUACGACCUACGGGUGAAAGCAGGGGAUCUUCGGACCUUGCGCGAUUGAAUGAGCCGAUGUCGGAUUAGCUAGUUGGCGGGGUAAAGGCCCACCAAGGCGACGAUCCGUAGCUGGUCUGAGAGGAUGAUCAGCCACACUGGAACUGAGACACGGUCCAGACUCCCACGGGAGGCAGCAGUGGGGAAUAUUGGACAAUGGGCGCAAGCCUGAUCCAGCCAUACCGCGUGGGUGAAGAAGGCCUUCGGGUUGUAAAGCCCUUUUGUUGGGAAAGAAAAGCAGCAGGUUAAUACCCUGCUGUUCUGACGGUACCCAAAGAAUAAGCACCGGCUAACUUCGUG